rnacentral:rRNA from 1 species
GUCCACCUCCCACCCGUGUUUAUUUUACCUUGUUGCUUCGGCGGGCCCGCCUUAACUGGCCGCCGGGGGGCUUACGCCCCCGGGCCCGCGCCCGCCGAAGACACCCUCGAACUCUGUCUGAAGAUUGUAGUCUGAGUGAAAAUAUAAAUUAUUUAAAACUUUCAACAACGGAUCUCUUGGUUCCGGCAUCGAUGAAGAACGCAGCGAAAUGCGAUACGUAAUGUGAAUUGCAAAUUCAGUGAAUCAUCGAGUCUUUGAACGCACAUUGCGCCCCCUGGUAUUCCGGGGGGCAUGCCUGUCCGAGCGUCAUUGCUGCCCUCAAGCACGGCUUGUGUGUUGGGCCCCGUCCUCCGAUCCCGGGGGACGGGCCCGAAAGGCAGCGGCGGCACCGCGUCCGGUCCUCGAGCGUAUGGGGCUUUGUCACCCGCUCUGUAGGCCCGGCCGGCGCUUGCCGAUCAACCCAAAUUUUUAUCCAGGUUGACCUCGGAUCAGGUAGGGAUACCCGCUGAACUUAAGCAUAUCAAU